UACGGAGGGUGCAGGCGUUAUCCGGAUUCACUGGGUUUAAAGGGUGCGUAGGUGGGCUGGUAAGUCAGUGGGGAAAUCUCCAGGCUUAACUUGGAAACUGCCAUUGAUACUAUCAGUCUUGAAUACCGUGGAGGUCAGCGGAAUAUGUCAUGUAGCGGUGAAAUGCUUAGAUAUGACAUAGAACACCAAUUGCGAAGGCAGCUGGCUACACGAAUAUUGACACUGAUGCACGAAAGCGUGGGGAUCAAACAGG
rnacentral:rRNA from 1 species